UAUUUUUUUUCAUAAGGAGAACAGUUAUUUGAUGUUCAUAUUUUAGUUAGCUAGCCACUAAGCUAAAUGAUGCUCAAGUGGGGGCCCUGUGGUUGUUGGCACGUGCUAUAACACAGGGUCUCUGGUUCAUUCCUGGGUACAGUUUCAGACAGGUUGGUGUAGCAAAGAUGUGCUUAGGCCUCCACAGGUACACCUUGUUUCACUGCACAGCAUGUUUACUUAAUCAGUUUAAUAACAGCACUUACACCAUCUGGAGUGCAAGACCCCACAUUAAGAACAGGUGAGCAUUGCCUGACUUUGCUGAGGACUGAGCAGAGAGCAAAAUAAGGAGGUCUUGAAGAUCUUGCCAUCAUUUGAAACAAAAAUCAUAUUCAUACCUUUAUGGGAUCUCCUUCCACAAGAGUUGUAUUAGAUUUUAUAAGAGCAGUUUUUGAGAGUUUCAAUUCUGAAGAAAAAAAAAAUCUGAAGCUCUUCUUAUCUAGAAUCUGUGUUUCUGCCCCCAUGACAGAUCCUCAGUAGAGAACAGAUAGUGCUUUGAAUUUUCAAAUCUAAAUUGUCUGUGAUAUUUGGCUUAUCAAUCACUUCUAUACUCUGUUGUUUCAAGUGGUAAAGGAAUAUAUACCAUCUGAUCUAGCAGACAACUAGUAUGCCUGUUGUGUGUCUGUUCUUAUAUUUCACUAUAUGGUAUGAAGGAUAUUUCCAUAAGCGUCACUUAGGAAGUCACCACUAUGUGUGAUGAAGCCUGGCUUUCCUGACUGAACACCUGCCUGCCCGUGGGAAGUGGACAGAAGUUUAUGCAGCCUCUUCAUAAAUGAUGAGAACCUUUCCUCAGGCAACCCACUUUAAUAAUCCACUGCUCUUCUUACUGGAAAGAUUUUCAAAAAUUAGAUAAGUAUCCCUGACUUUAAAUUAAACUUCUUGUUCUUUGUUCUGUUUAUCUUUGCUUAUGGCAGUACUUUUUACAUGUUUACAUAGUCAUCUCAUAUUUUUUCUUUCCUUCUGUGUCCAUCUGUAAACUAAAGAGACAUAAUUUGUUAAUUUUCUUUUCAUUGGCUGUAUAUUAUAAACCUAUGAUCAUUCUCUCUCCUGUACUUUGAAAAACAAAUCAGCACCAUCUUUAUCUUUUUGAAGUUUGACAUACAGAACUGGACAUAUUGCCCUCCAAGUUCUUAGUUCAUUAUUGACUGGGUAAUCAGCCUAGAAUCAUCUGGGCUUUGUCAGAUAAAUUCUAUAUUUCCUGGUUUUCCUUUAUUCAAAAGAUUUGUUAGAUGUUUAUUGGAGUUCCUACAAAUCCAUGCUGGCUUUCAGUGGUUGUAUUGCUAUUCAUACAAAUCAAUUGACAACCAUUCCAGUAUUCCUAUGGAACUAAAGUAAAUCUAAAGAAAUUUUCUUGGCUAACGAUUUAGCCACCCUUUCUCUGUGACAUAAACCCGGCCACACAUUGUCUGCUUUCAAUAUUCAGGGAUGCUAUAUGUGCAUAUUGGAAGGGAAUUCUGUCUUAAUUGUCUCUCUGGCUACUAUUACAUGAGUAAAUUAAAUUCAUUGUUUUUUGCUAGUUUUCCUGGGUACAGAGACAAGGAGGUGGAGCUUUUAGCACUAUGUAUUCGAUACUGCCUACGUCGGUGCUACUUGAGGUUCAAAAUCCAAGGCCAGAAAUCACAAGUUUGCUGUUCUUUUUCCUUUUCUUUUCUUUUUUUUUUUUGGUUUGCUGGGCUUGCUCUGGAGAGAGUGUGGGAUUGGGACCACCAUUGCUCUUGCCACAGUGCUGCCAUCCCUGGGGAGAGAGCCCCCGCAGUGGGGCCUGAGCUGCACAGAGUCUCCAUUUCAGCAGCACAGCUCCUCAUUUGGAUGAACUAGAUUUCCUGACCCUCAUGGAAGCCACAUUGAAGCAUAUGGAAGACAGAGAAGUGAGUAGAGAAAAUAACACAGCUUCACCAAAGGCAAAUCUGGAGUUGUGCUGCCAGGGUAGUCUGGUGGCCUUCUUAUGAUGAUGUGACUGCAUCAGUGGAGAAUGAAAGAUCAACUGAUGUUACUUACCUGGUCACUUUUUAAGACCUUUGGCAUGGUCUCCCAUCAUAUUCUGGAUGCUAAAUUGGAGAGAUUAUGAGUUUGAUGGAUAUACUGUUAGAUGGAUAAGAGCUGACUGGAUGGUCGCAUUCAAAGAGUUACGGUCAAUGGCUCAAUGCUCUAGUGGAAACCAGUAAUCAGUGAUGUCCCUCAAGAGUCCAUAUGAACACCAAAGCUAUUUUACAUCUUCGUUGAUGGCACAGACCAAUGUGAUUGAAUGCACUCUCAUCAAGAUUUUGGAUAAGACCAAGAUGAAUGGUACAGCUGGUAUAUUAGAGGGAAGGGACACCAUCUAGGUGGAGCUUAAUAGGCUUGAGGAGUGGGACUGUAUGGAUCUCAUGAAUAUCAAUAAGACCAAUGCAAGGUCCUGCACCUGGGUCAUGUCAAUCUCCAACAUCAGCACAGACUGGAACAAGGAAUUGGAGUGGAAUCAAUCCAGAUGAGAAGGACUUGAUGUCCACCAUCCUUGUGGAUGAAAAAAUUGGAUGUGAUCAAGCAAUGUAUGCAUGCAGCCUUGGAAUCAUAUGCUGGGCUACAUCAAAAAAAGUAUAGCCAGCAGGUCAAGAGAGCCUCCAGUGAAGAUUACCAGCUGAUAGUGAUGCCCUGGCUACAGGACAACCUAUUGCCUGUUGCCUGCUUGUGAAGAGACAGUGAGACAGCAGAGGCUGAAGAAUCUUCACUAGAAGAAGAAAUUACCUUGAAAGGGAAGCAACUCAUCACUACUGCCAUUGCUGAAGAAAUACAACUCUGCCUUGAAAUAGACUCAUGGAAGGACUGGCAGAUCUAUGGAGAGAGGAGCUGGAGCUGGUUCGCUGGAAGGAAUUGUGAACCUGUGGAAGGGAAACAAGCUGGGGCAGUUUGUGGAAAAACGCAGCUCCUGGGAAGGACUGACAUUGGAGAAAUUAUUGGAGUUUAAUUAUAUCAUAAUUAUCAUUAUAAUUAUCCCUCCCACUCCCUCAUGUGGGAGGGAUUCCACACCAGAGCAGGGAAAGAAUAUGAGGCGUGCUUUCCCUGAAGAGGAAGCAGCAGCAAAGACAACUUUUGGUGAACUGACUGCAGCCCCCAUUUCCUGCUUCCCUGCACUGCUAGUGGGAAGAAAUUGGAGAAUUCAUAAGUAAAAUUAAGCCCAGGAGAAUGGAUGGGUCAGGGGAAGAUGUUUUUAAGAUUGGGCUUUAUUUUUCAUUUCCCUACUCUGAUUUGAGUGACAAAAAAUUAAACUAAUUUCCACAGUUGAGUCUGUUUUGUCAAUGACAGUAACUGGUGAGUGAUGACUUCCUGUCCUUAUCUUGACCCAUGAGACUUUCAUUAUAUCUUCUCUCCCUUAUCCAGCUGAGGAGGGGAGUGACAUAGAGUGGCUUUGGUGACCACCUGACAUCCAUCCAGGGUCAAUCCAUCACAUAUGGUGCCACCAAGGUAGACGUGAUUCCUUUAUUUUGAAUCCUAACUGGUACUGUAUGUAGUGGAGAGAGAGACAUCCAUUUACCAUGUAAGGCAAGAAAAUAGAAAUGCAGGAAAUAUAACAAAUUCUUAGAGAACAAAGCUGAUAUUUUUUAGAUGAAAAGGAGGUAGAAAUCUUCUCAGGCAACAGAAAAGAAGAAUGAGAUUAGUCUGUAACAACAGAUGUCAGACAAUAUUUCCAAAGAGUAAUUUAAUUUAGAAGAGAUUUUGAAGUUUCUGAAUUCCACUGCUUUCUUUAGUUCAACGAUUAGUACAGGAGAAGGCCUCAUCCAAAGCUGAUUGUAAUAAACUGAAAAUCUUCCACCAGUUACAUUAGGCUUUGGAACAAACCCAGGUUUUAUGAUAUAUGUUCAUAAUUUGCAAAGUCCAAUUUCCCUUUCAGUUAUACUAUCUCAUAAGCCAGAUCUUGUAGAUAAUUAUACAGGCUUGAAAUUCAUAAGCAGUAGUCAUAAAACUGUUGAACCCAUCACAUAAAAAAAGCCCAGAAAAACAACUGCUCUGUGAUGUUUCUGAGCUGCAAUCAGAACUGAAACCUCCCUCUUGUUCUGAAUCAGCCCCAGACACAAUGCAACACAUCCUUAUAUCAGCCACUUAUGUGAGGCCGUGGGAUUAAGGACAUUAAUGCACACGUCCAUUUUACAUGAGAUUUUAUUCUUAGUAUCAGAAAUAAAUGCGUCAAUGACUUAAGUGGAAAAUGGACAGAAAGAAGCUUUUCAAAUGCUCAAGUGGAACUGGUUACUACCUCUAGUGUCUUACACAAACCUUCCAUAUAAUUUCUUUUUGUACUCUUAAAUUAUGGUUUGGCAGAAGAAUAUCUGCAAGUGAACUGUAGCAAGUAAUAGGUUUUUAUGUUAUCCUCUAUCAGAUGCCAUUUAUAAAAUGAGUUCUUUAAGGGGUUCUGAAAAAGGGCAAAUCCCGUUGAUUGCUUAUGUUUAAAACAGAAAAGCAAGCACCUGAAUAACACAGAGUAAUUCUUUCCAGAGACAGAAUUACUUUUUUUUUUCUAGUUUGAACAAUACAUGAUUUUGCUGUACUGAUAAUUUCUUACAAAAAUAAUUAAUGGCCAUGUGUUUUAUUAUAUAAAUUAUGAUUAAAUUUUUAAAAUCACAACAUGUGGCUUAGGAUAUUCUUGCAAUAUCAUUUAUGCAGAUUUUAUUAAAGCGUCAGACUAAUAUCUUUCUAAAGAUAUGGAAUAGUCAAUUGCAUUGUAAUUUCUAAUGACUAUGGGGAACUCUGAACACUCGAUGCCUAAAAUUAUAAUGAUGUGUUGCUGUAGUCAUUAUGUGAAUAUUACUACUUUGAUGGGGUGCUCUGACCUCGUUUUUAUCAUUGCUUUUCUUUUCUUUAAAACCAUCUCCACUAUAUAUAACACAAAGAUUUUUUUUAUAAUACUUUGGAGAUAGGGAAUUCAUUUUUACAAACAAUGAGAUUUUUUUCUUUUUUGUUCACAUGUCUUUUGACUGUCCUAAAUCAGUAUGAUAAUUACAAGCUAAAUAUUUUUUAAAAGUAUCUAUUUACUAUAUAAGUUUUGAAACAAGCCUUUCAUUGACUCUAACAAUGGAAUAUGCACUGUGUUCUGAGAUAUAACUACAGUAAUUUUCUUAUCUGCUGAUAUGUGAUUUACCUGUGUUUACUGUCAUCUUCUGAUCUAUAUAAAAGGCAAAAAGACUUUUCUGAAUUAAAUCUUCCUUCAGUGAGAAUACAUCAGAAAAAAAAAAUUAUUAAUGAUAUUAAGUUCACCAUUGGUAGGGGUUCCAGCACAGUCUGAUAAUGCACCAGUGACAAUGUACACCUGCCAUGGUUAAUAGCUGUCAUUUCUUUUAUCUUCACUGUAUUUCAAGCCUGAAUAUGUCCUAUUUUGAAAUCAUAAAGGAAGAGCAAUAUAUUGAUAUUCACGCAAUAGGUCUUUCAGGAUGCAAUUGAAGGUUAUAGUUCACAUGUUUUGCUGGUUUUACAUACUUAUUUUAGAAAAAAUACCCAAACAAUUUGCUUAUAAGAGUCAAGAAGUUGAUGGCAGUAACUUUUUUCUUUUUUGCAUAGAAUAUGUAGUCUUUUUCACAGAAGACAUAUUGAGUUAUUAUUCAAGAGAAUUGCACACCAAUACUUCUUUAUCUGAAUGUAAGCAGAUUAAUGAUCUUUUGAUACAGAGUCCUUCACACCAAAACACCUUGACAAUUUAAAUUAAUAUAAUAAGUAAUACCAGGACGCUGCAGUUUAUUAGCCCUUGGAGAGUGGAAUUUACUGGAACAUAGAUUAGGUUAACCACUGGGAAAAUUCUUAGGCCAUUUCAGUUUAGCACAGCAUAAAUUCUCAAGCAUGAGUCCCAGUGUUUUACUAAAUAAAAAUGUCUCUUGAAUUCAGGUUCUUUCCAGACAGUGAUUUCCCAGCCUGCAAUCAUUUUACAUCAUAUAUCACCCAGCUUCAGUCCAAUUUACCUCAGACAAUCUGGUAGCUGCAAGACUGAAAAACACAUUAAUACUAUUUGAAAACCAUUGUCAUCCAAAGUUUUGCUUAUUCUUUUUUUGAUUUUAAAUAGGAAUAGGUUUUGGAAAUGUAAAGUAGACAAAAUAAAUAAGUUUCAGAACACUGUAGCUUAGUGAAAUUUUUCUGUAAGGCUUUCCUUUUUUUCACCAAUUAAUAUGUUUUCAGAUGGGUAGCCAUUUUCUACAGAUCAUCAACCUGUUCCCAUGGGUACAGUAAUGGUGAGGUAUGAUACAAAAAGCACUUUUAGAUUUAAAGCCAAUUGUGAAUUUAUUAACAAUCCUUCCAGAUCCACAGUAUUUCUAACCUUAAGAGAGACAUAAAAGUUAGUCUGUUUCCUGGGAGUGUGCUGAUAAACAGUCAUGACAUCCCUUUUUCCGAGUAAAAUAAUGCGAUACUAUACAAUCACUUCUGUUAUGUGAAGGCUUUCUUUCUAUCAUCAGAGCAAGAGAAGCAUAAAUCAUGUGUGUGAUAAACCACAUAAAGAAAAAUAAAAAUUACAUCUUUCUAGGCAAAUAAUUUCAAAGCCCAGUUGAAUAAAUCUAUGAGUAAUAAUCAAGGAUAAGAGGAAAAAAGGUAUAAGCACAAAUUGAUUCAAAAGAAAUUUAAAUGGUUUAAGAUUAACAUAUUUGAGGUUCAUUUUUUAGGCUAGAUUUUUUUUUAAUCUUCAAACAAAUUGAGAUAUUACCAGUUUUGAAGACAUGACGAACGAAUAUUAUUUAAAAAAAACCCCUAAAAAUACAGUACAGGUUUAGUUUUGAGGAGAAACAAUCAGACAAAGAGUCCAACUCAACUCUCCCCUCCCCCUCCCAAACACAAGAACACAACCUCCCACCUUCCCACCUUUUACACUGUGAACUUAUAAAGAAAUAGCUGUGUACCUAGUUCUGCAGAGAAUUCGCCACUUAUCUAUAUAGGAAUCCUAUCCUAUCCUAUCCCUUUGUUCUUAAAUAAACAAAAUUUAAGGGUAGCUGCUAGACAAUGUAAAAAGAUUAAGGAAAAAAACACAUAAAUCCAGAAGACCUCCUGAAGACAAAUACAGAGAAGCUAAAGCUGAAGGACAUGUGAUCUGUGAUGGGUUGACCCUGGCUGGACACCAGGUGUCCACCAAAACCACUCUAUCACUCCCCUCCUCAGAUGGACAGUGGAGAGAAAACAUAACAAAUGAUUGGUGGGUUGAGGUAAGGACAGGAGGAAAUCACUCAGCAGUUACUGUCACUGACAAAACAGAUUUGACCUGGGGAAAUUGGCUUAAUUCAUUGCCAGAUAAGGAGUACUUAAACAAUUUCGAGUCAUACAUCACAAGACAUAAGCUUGUAAAAGUUUAUGGGAGCUGGAGUGGACCACUCAGAGAGCUGAGUGCCCUGGGUAAUGGAAAGCUGGAAAUCUGUCAUCUUUAAAGGGUGGCAAUCAUGCCAAUCAAGGACAGUGCUUGGUGACCAGUCGCUUCCAACCCGCAUGGUUCUGUGAAAUGGAGUUCAGUCAUCCUUGGCCAAGGAAUGUCAGUCUUCAGUCACUGAUUCAGGAUAUCUAUGUAUUCAUCUGAGUUAAAUUCAGAAAACACAGAAAAAUCAUUGGAUUUUUAAUCUAGCUACAAGACAGAAACCUACUUUAGUGAAAAAAAAUUCAAUAACAAUCUUGUCUGUAUUUCAGAUCUCAUGCACCUCUGGAUCAAGAUCUUACAUUCUAAGCCAUCCAUUUUGUCCCCCAAAACAGCAAGUACAUUGACAAAGAAAAUCUUAGCCUUAGGAACAGCUAAAUGAGCAAAGAUUCCUCUGCAGACUGUGGUGAGACCAUGGUGAAGCAGCUGUGCCCCUGCAGGGGAUGCAGAGAUCCACCUGCAGCCCAUGGGGAGGUGCCCAUGCCAGUGCAGGUGGAUGCCUGGAGGAGGCUGUGAUCCAGUGGGAUACCUGAUGGAGAGGAGGGUCCUGGUCACAGGCUGGAGCAGCCUGUCCUUGGAGGACUGCACCCCGUGGAAGAGUGACCCACACCACAGCAGUUUUGGGAGGACUGUGUGCCUGUGGGGGGAAUUCAUGUUGCAGCAGGUGUGGCAGGACUGCUGCUCAUGAGAGUGGACCCACCCUGGAGAAGUUCACAGAGAACUGUCCCCUGUGGGAGGGACCCCAUGGCCUCACAGGGGAAGAAAGUCUUGGUGAUGAACUGACCAAAACCCCCAUGCCCUGUUUCCCUGCACUAUCAGUGGGAAGUAUGAGAAGUUGGGGGUGGGGAAAGAAGGUGUUUUAAGGACUUAUUUUACUUCUCA